rnacentral:rRNA from 1 species
AUAUCAAUAAGCGGAGGAAAAGAAACCAACAGGGAUUGCCUCAGUAACGGCGAGUGAAGCGGCAACAGCUCAAAUUUGAAAUCUGGCCUUACGGUCCGAGUUGUAAUUUGUAGAGGAUGUUUUGGGUACCGCCGCGGUUUAAAUUUCUUGGAACAGAAUGUCAGAGAGGGUGAGAGUCCCGUCUUGGAUUGCGGUAGGGCCUGUGUAAAACUCCUUCGACGAGUCGACUUGUUUGGGAAUGCAGGUCAAAAUGGGUGGUAAAUUUCAUCUAAAGCUAAAUAUUGGCCAGAGACCGAUAGCGCACAAGUAGAGUGAUCGAAAGAUGAAAAGCACUUUGAAAAGAGAGUUAAACAGUAUGUGAAAUUGUUGAAAGGGAAGCGCUGGCAACCAGACUCGUGCGCGGGGUUCCCCCUUGCUUCUGCUUGGGUCACUUCCCCGUGUCCGGGCCAUCAUCAGUUUCGGGGGCCGGUUAAAGGCUCUGGGAAUGUAUCUACUCCUUCGGGGGUAGACUUAUAGCCCAGGGUGUCAUGCGGCCACUCGGGACUGAGGAACGCGCUUCGGCGAGGAUGAUGGCGUAAUGGUUGUCAGCGA